GUGGGGAAUCUUGCGCAAUGGGCGAAAGCCUGACGCAGCCAUGCCGCGUGAAUGAUGAAGGUCUUAGGAUUGUAAAAUUCUUUCACCGGGGACGAUAAUGACGGUACCCGGAGAAGAAGCUCCGGCUAACUUCGUGCCAGCAGCCGCGGUAAUACGAAGGGGGCUAGCGUUGCUCGGAAUUACUGGGCGUAAAGGGCGCGUAGGCGGACAGCUUAGUCAGAGGUGAAAGCCCAGGGCUCAACCUUGGAAUUGCCUUUGAUACUGGCUGUCUUGAGUGUGGGAGAGGUGAGUGGAACUCCGAGUGUAGAGGUGAAAUUCGUAGAUAUCCGGAAGAACACCAGUGGCGAAGGCGACUCACUGGCCCAAUACUGACGCUGAGGCGCGAAAGCGUGGGGAGCAAACAGGAUUAGAAACCCCGGUAGUCC
rnacentral:rRNA from 1 species